rnacentral:rRNA from 1 species
AGAGUUUGAUCCUGGCUCAGGACAAACGCUGGCGGCGUGCCUAACACAUGCAAGUCGAACGGAGAAUAUUGAUGAAGCUUGCGAUUCAAUGUUCUUAGUGGCGGACGGGUGAGUAACACGUGGGUAACCUCCCCAUAAAACCGGGACAACCCUUGGAAACGAGGGCUAAUACCGGAUAGCCUUCAGGCGUGGCAUCACGAGUGAAGGAAAGGUGGCCUCUGAAAAUGCUACCGAUUAUGGAAGGACCCGCGGCUGAUUAGCUAGUUGGUGGGGUAAAGGCCUACCAAGGCGACGAUCAGUAGCCGGCCUGAGAGGGUGAACGGCCACACUGGGACUGAGACACGGCCCAGACUCCUACGGGAGGCAGCAGUGGGGAAUCUUCCGCAAUGGACGAAAGUCUGACGGAGCAACGCCGCGUGUAUGACGAAGGCCUUCGGGUUGUAAAGUACUGUCUUUGGGGGCGAACGGCCUAUAUGAAAACAUUGUAUAGGAUUGACGGUACCCAAGGAGGAAGCCCCGGCUAACUACGUGCCGGCAGCCGCGGUAAUACGUAGGGGGUGAGCGUUGUCCGGAAUCAUUGGGCGUAAAGGGCGCGUAGGCGGAUAAUUAAGUCCGGUGUGAAAGGUGAGGGCUCAACCCUUAGAUUGCACUGGAAACUGGUUAUCUUGAGGACAGGAGAGGAAAGUGGAAUUCCUAGUGUAGCGGUGAAAUGCGUAGAUAUUAGGAGGAACACCAGUGGCGAAGGCGACUUUCUGGACUGUAACUGACGCUGAGGCGCGAAAGCGUGGGGAGCAAACAGG